AUGUUGAAGCUACCAUCUGGAGUUGUGAGGCUUUAUGGUCUAGAGACACUAGAUCUUAGAGAUACACAUAUAGAAGAAUUGCCGACUGGAAUUAUUCAGCUUGUUAAGUUACAACAUCUACUCAUUGCAAGAUAUCCAUAUUUCGACACUGCUCUUGGUGAAAUGAAGAUACCAAAUGGGAUUGGAACUAUGAAGAAUUUACAGGCGAUCUCAGGCUUUAAUAUUAUGAAGAGUUCGUUAUGUGCAGUCGAGGAACUGGGGGAUCUGACAGGUUUGAAAGAACUUCAUCUACAGUUGGAUGGUGGAGGAUCCCAGGAAUACAAGAGGCAUGAAGAGAUGUUACUCUCCUCACUCUGCAAGCUUGGCGCCUACAAACUUCAGUCUUUAAGGUUACACUCUCCUGAUUCAACACCCAUCCAGUUCUUAGAAUCUUGGUCCCCUCUGCCAUAUAACCUCCAAAUAUUUUGGAUGACCACUAACUAUGAUUUACCAAAAUUGCCAAAGUGGAUUGUACCAGCACUCACUAGUCUUGCAUACUUGAACAUUAAUUUGAUUGAAGCAACAGAGGAGGAUCUGCAGAUACUUGGACAUAUGCCUGCCUUACUUUGUCUGAGUAUAACAAUCGGCACUGUCCAAAAAGAAAGGCUUACAGUACAAGGAGUUGGAUUCCUGUGUUUGAAGGAAUUCUCCCUUAUCUGUGAUUACUAUGUUAAAAGUGCAAUUUACUUGACGUUUAAGGAAAGGGCACUGCCAAAGCUGGAGAAGCUUGAGCUGCCGUUCUUUGUUUUGGUGGCAGAAGCAUAUGGGUUCUACUUGGGUCUUGGCCACCUCCCAUGUCUCAGAGAUGCCGAAGUUACUCUUUGCGAUGAUGAUGACACAUCUUACGAAAGCAACUCUGCUGCAGCUGCCGCUAUAAGGAACUAG
rnacentral:rRNA from 1 species